rnacentral:tRNA from 1 species
GGGGUUGUAGCUCAGUGGUUGAGUGCUUGGCUCGCAUGCAUGAGGCACUGAGUUCAAUUCUCAGCACCA